rnacentral:lncRNA from 1 species
GCAACACAGAAGUACAUAACAAAGAAAAGGCCAAAGAAGACUUCCAGGAACAAAAAGUAGAAAAGAAGGGUGGAAAGGAAACACACAGGGAAGAAAGCCUUAGAUAAUGAAAUGGAAUAAGAUGGGGUGAUCUCCUCAAAUAAAUUUGAAGCUUUAGGGGAUAAAGAAAAAGAUGGGAAAGCAAUACACGAAUAAUCCACAAAUGAGCAGCAAUAAUGGACUAAAGAGUGGGUGGAGGAAACUUGCGGAUUGAGCACUCCAAAG